AGUGAACGCUGGCGGUAGGCCUAACACAUGCAAGUCGAACGGCAGCACAGUAGGAGCUUGCUCUUACGGGUGGCGAGUGGCGGACGGGUGAGGAAUACAUCGGAAUCUACUUUUUCGUGGGGGAUAACGUAGGGAAACUUACGCUAAUACCGCAUACGACCUACGGGUGAAAGCAGGGGAUCUUCGGACCUUGCGCGAUUGAAUGAGCCGAUGUCGGAUUAGCUAGUUGGCGGGGUAAAGGCCCACCAAGGCGACGAUCCGUAGCUGGUCUGAGAGGAUGAUCAGCCACACUGGAACUGAGACACGGUCCAGACUCCUACGGGAGGCAGCAGUGGGGAAUAUUGGACAAUGGGCGCAAGCCUGAUCCAGCCAUACCGCGUGGGUGAAGAAGGCCUUCGGGUUGUAAAGCCCUUUUGUUGGGAAAGAAAAGCAGCAGGUUAAUACCCCGCUGUUCUGACGGUACCCAAAGAACAAGCACCGGCUAACUUCGUG
rnacentral:rRNA from 1 species